rnacentral:rRNA from 1 species
AGCGAACGCUGGCGGCAGGCCUAACACAUGCAAGUCGAACGGAUCCUUCGGGAUUAGUGGCGGACGGGUGAGUAACACGUGGGAACGUGCCCUUUGGUUCGGAACAACUCAGGGAAACUUGAGCUAAUACCGGAUGUGCCCUGGGGAAAGAUUUAUCGCCAUUGGAGCGGCCCGCGUCUGAUUAGCUAGUUGGUGAGGUAAAGGCUCACCAAGGCGACGAUCAGUAGCUGGUCUGAGAGGAUGAUCAGCCACAUUGGGACUGAGACACGGCCCAAACUCCUACGGGAGGCAGCAGUGGGGAAUCUUGCGCAAUGGGCGAAAGCCUGACGCAGCCAUGCCGCGUGAAUGAUGAAGGUCUUAGGAUUGUAAAAUUCUUUCACCGGGGACGAUAAUGACGGUACCCGGAGAAGAAGCCCCGGCUAACUUCGUGCCAGCCGCCGCCGUAAAAC